rnacentral:RNase_P_RNA from 1 species
CGAGUAAGCCAGACAAUCGCUGCUGUGUUUCACACAGGAGAGGAAAGUCCGAGCUCCGUAGGGCAGGGUGCUGGGUAACUCCCAGUCAGGGUGACUUGAAGGAAAGUGCAACAGAGAUAUACCGCCGCAGAUUUAAAUAUUAGUUUAAUUACUAGUAUUUGUAUGCGGCAAGGAUGGAAAGGCGAGGUAAGAGCUCACCAGCGCAUUGGCGACUUUGCGGCUAUGUAAACCCCACUUGGAGCAAGAUCGAAUAGGGAAGUAGGAAAUCACUUAUGUGUUUUCCAGGGGCUGCCCGCCCCGCUUCCGGGUAGAAUCGCUUGAACUUACUGGCAACAGUAGGUCUAGAUAGAUGAUUGUCAAAAACAGAACUCGGCUUACAGACUUACUCACAUA